AGGACGAACGCUGGCGGCGUGCUUAACACAUGCAAGUCGAGCGGAAAGGCCCUUCGGGGUACUCGAGCGGCGAACGGGUGAGUAACACGUGAGUAAUCUGCCCCUAGCUCUGGGAUAGCUCCGGGAAACCGGGAUUAAUACCGGAUACGACCACCUUAGACAUCUUUUGUGGUGGAAAGAAUUUCGGCUAGGGAUGAGCUCGCGGCCUAUCAGCUUGUUGGUGGGGUAACGGCCUACCAAGGCGACGACGGGUAGCCGGCCUGAGAGGGCGACCGGCCACACUGGGACUGAGACACGGCCCAGACUCCUACGGGAGGCAGCAGUGGGAUAUUGCGCAAUGGGCGAAAGCCUGACGCAGCGACGCCGCGUGGGGGAUGAAGGCCUUCGGGUUGUAAACCCCUUUCAGCAGGGACGAAGCGAAAGUGACGGUACCUGCAGAAGAAGCGCGGCUAACUACGUGCCAGCAGCCGC
rnacentral:rRNA from 1 species